UGCAACCUCAUAAAAAAUAAAGAUUAUAUGUCAAGUUGUCAAGCAGGGGGUAAAAAGAGAGAAUCUUAAUAUUCCAGGGGGUAAUCCCAAGUUUUUUUUUGCGGGGUAAUGCAAAAUUGGCUUAUUUUGCAGGGGUAAAACCCUAUUUACCCAAAAAUAAUUACUUAAAUUACAUAAAAUCAAACUUUACAAGUUUAUUAAAAAAAAUUGUAACAAGGUUCUUGUAUAUUCUCUUGUCUGGGAAAUCUAUGCACUGGAAAAAUCUGAACUUGAUUCUUCAUCGAAAAACACAAACACUAGUGUUGGUGAUACUUUCUCUUCAAAGCAAUUAGAUCUCAUUUGCUGUAAAACCUCCUAGCAUAACUGUGGAAUAAAAAACAUACAGAUAAACACAAAUGAUUUAUGAAAAUAGAGAGGACGAGCAAUUAGUGUGAAAACGAAAAGGAACAAUGAGAUCUGAAACAUAGGAAGAUAACCUGCUAUAUCUUUAGCGCUCAACAACUUUUCAUUCACCUUCAGCCGUCGUCGAACUCUCGUUGUCGUUACCAUGAAAGACAAGGAACAAACAAGGAUGAAACGUGGGUUUGUGGGAGUAGAAAUCGGAACAUUUUGAGAAAGAGAAGGAGAUGAACGAGAAGGGAUGGGAGAGAAAAUGAAGGUGGCGGCUGCAAAGCUUUGUUGUGUAAAAUGAGAAGUUAGAUGAGGAAUGAGAAUUUAGGGUUAGUCAUAGUGGGCUGGGCCAUCUUAAUACUUAACUACAGAAAAUGAAUAAAAUUAGGUUUUAUUUCUGAGGAUUUUGAAUCAAUGUGAUGAACAACAUAGAUCAACAAUCUGAAAAACAAAAGUUUUCUUUCUUAACUCUUUAUAUUUCUUCUCCCUUCAAAUCAUCCACAACUUAGUACCAUCUUUUUUCAUAUCUAAGUUAUUUUCUAGAUCUGAGUUGUUUGAUGAAUGUUGAAGCUCUACGUAUUGAGAUCCCCUUUGCAGUAGUGCAUUCUAGUGUAACUCAAAGGGAUU
rnacentral:lncRNA from 1 species